ensembl:lncRNA
UAGAUUAUGAAAGUUGACACAAGGAUUGUGACCCUGCAUAGUAUAUUUGUUGCUUUGAAUAAUCAUUUUUACAUUGCUUAGCUAAAUAAAUCACUUUUUUCAGUGUUUAUAAUGUGAAAUCCACAAAAACAGAUGCCAGAUCCAAUUCUGGAGGUGUCAGACAGAGAUCAAGCUUGUUCUGCCACAAAUGAAGCUCUGCUUAUAUAUUUAAUUACAUAACCAGAAGUGAUAUUUAAGUGGAAGAGGCACCACUUCACACGUAUCAUGUUAUACAUAGACUCUGAUGCCCUCUGAUGUUAUGUUGCCCUCUGGUGGUACAAUUUCAGCCAGCUACUGUACAGAUUUGAGAUGAUACAAUCCAGUUUUAGAAGGAUAAAAUCAACCUUUUUUGUUGUUGUUGACUCUCUAGAAUAGUUGAUUCUGAUUAUUGUCAAAUAUUUCUGAAUAAUGACUGUUGUCCAUUAUAACACUGCAUAACCAGCCGCUCAUCUUAUGUUUAUACAUCGUCUCUACAAGCAACUGAAGCAAGAUAAUAAAACACAAAUAAAUAUUAUACCUCCAUGUAUUCAUUUACUUGACUGAUAAGUAACCAUAUAAGUAAACUGAAGAUAACCAAAUCAAUACACUGCCCUGCGUCAUAUUUGCUGAAUGAAAUCCAGUUCUCUACUAAUUUUGGGGUACCGAUUCCCAAAAUAGUCUGUUUUGCUCAAGCAUGUCACACUAUUUCACAAAAUAUGAUGUGCAUUUCAGAGCAUUUUUGCUUUCAACAACCAUUUGUAUGGUAUAAAACCAGACAAACACAAUUCCUAUCUUCCUCUAAGCCAGGUGACAACUAUUUCCCAAGCGAAUUUUCACAUUUAUGAAUGAUUCUGAAGACAUUUUCUGCCUGAUCCUGAUUUCAAGGAUAGAUUUAUGGCCAGUAACAGAAGAAAAUGGAAACAUGACCCAUUUGUUUUCUGCUACAAUCUAUGAGUGUCGUACUACACCCAGAAAGCAACCGAAAAUUACAGAUUUUGUGGAAAAGCUUAUUUACAAAGUUAAGUUUAUGUAAAAUUCAUUAAAAUUAAAUGGCGUAUAUGAGCAUAUUUUCUACUCCAUUGCAGAUUGUAAGUUAAACAAUAUAUUUAGAAGAUUUAUGUUUGUCAUUAAAACCAAAACUUUUGGCUUUUGACUGCUUUUGUUAUUCUGAUAAGUGCAUUAAAGCUGAUAGAUAUAUUAUUAGUCCUAGUCAGCUCCAGAUGAGAAAUGUGCAUGAGUUAAAUGUGCAAAAACCAACUGAUUAACUUCAUAUCUGAUUAUUAUAAUAUUUAAUACCCAUCAACACUGAGUUUCUGUUUCUGAAAGGACAGUCAGUCUCGGCCCGCCUUCAGUUUCUCUGCCAUUGUGUUAUCAUGUUUGGAUCCUCCCAUGCAUGGGGGGCUUUUGGCCAGGCUAGGGUUGCUGCUCCAUUGCUGGGGCGUCUUCGCCUGGAUGGCAAGCGCAUGAAUGCAGCUGCUGAGCUCCUCCCCCGCACGAUGACAAGUGACAAAGAAAAUUCAUGAUCGAUCAAAUACCGAAAUCAUUUCACGCACCUUUCGCCUCCAGCGUGUUGUUUUUGUAUAACGCACAGGAAGUGAUUCCAGCAGAUAGUCC